rnacentral:rRNA from 1 species
UACGUAGGGUGCAAGCGUUAAUCGGAAUUACUGGGCGUAAAGCGUGCGCAGGCGGUUAUGUAAGACAGGUGUGAAAUCCCAGGGCUUAACCUUGGAACUGCAUUUGUGACUGCAUAGCUAGAGUACGGUAGAGGGGGAUGGAAUUCCGCGUGUAGCAGUGAAAUGCGUAGAUAUGCGGAGGAACACCGAUGGCGAAGGCAAUCCCCUGGACCUGUACCGACGCUCAUGCACGAAAGCGUGGGGAGCAAACAGG